rnacentral:tRNA from 1 species
GCCGGGUUGGCGGAAUGGCAUACGCAGGGGGCUUAAAACCUCCGGGGGCGCAAGCUCUAUGCGGGUUCGACUCCCGCACUCGGUA